rnacentral:misc_RNA from 1 species
GGAGGAUGGUCGGCAUUUGUCCGGGAGAAUGACAUCCAGAUGGGAGAUAUCUGCAUAUUUGAGCUCAUUGGGAAAUAUGAAAUGCGUGUACAUGUAUGUGCAAUUGGGAAGAAGGGGUUAGAUUACCAAAAUGGGACAGCUCCUAAAGAGUCGGAUAUCCUUGCUUCCUUGACAAGCUAGAGACCUUUGGUGUGAAACACUGUAGGAAAGAUUACUUCUUGCGUAAUAAAAGGCUUGGCGUUUCACUGGAAGAUAACGAAACUUGAAUACAUGGGAUCAGAAAAGGUACACAUAUCAAUGUUAUGGAGAAGCACUUGAGUAGAUUAUCAAAUAUUUGACUAGGUUGGCCAUAUGCCUUCAGUAGCU